rnacentral:lncRNA from 1 species
CACAGAAGAGGUGUUCUGGUCAUCUUUAUGGCCCUCCUCUGAAAAAUCCCCAACAAGUUUAUGUCCUCCUCAUGCUAUUGAAUACAAUGACAAGGCCAUGUUCAUUGGUCCUCGAGAGGAUCAAGAUUCCUGAUUUUAACUCACUAGAGGAAAGAGGUCACGAGCCAAGUGGAAGAAUAAGCCACACAACCACAAUGCUCAUCAGUGUGGAAAUCUGCUUUCAGGUCUCAGCAGCCCAGCCUUCAUUUUAUCUUACCUACCUGAUCAAGAUUCAUGGAGUGCAUAUGGGUUAAUCAGACUGUUUUAAAAAUCACUAGACAGUACAGCAUCUAAAGUCUUCGGUGGAUUCGGUCUUUAAUUUCUCAGUGUUACACUACCUCAGCUGCAAAGCAGAAUAUUGUGUUAUAUUUUUCUGUGUUUGGAUAUAGAGUUUGGAUAUACAUUGUAAAUUUUUUGAGAUUGCUCAUUAGAUGCAUUCACAUGGGGUUCUACUUCUAACUCAGUUAUGUCUCACUUUCUCUUAUUGGAUUUUUUCUCCUGUAUAAACAUUUAAAUAUCAGUUUGGGAUGGAAACCAGGUUUAAAAUCUCAUUUCUCUAGAUCUAAACAUGGUAAAUGUGGAUAUGUUAAUUUAUGUGAUCUUUUUGGACAAGGUAUUGAAUGCAAUCUAUGUUUUAAAAAGACGACUAAAGCUUCCAUGAGAAAAAGAACUCUAAAUGGGUAUACCAGUAAGGCAUAGGCAGCUGUGAAUUUAACUAUAAAGUGAAAUAAAACCUUGUUUGGUUUGUCA